rnacentral:rRNA from 1 species
CCUACGGGGGGCAGCAGUGGGGAAUAUUGCACAAUGGGGGAAACCCUGAUGCAGCAACGCCGCGUGAGCGAAGAAGGCCUUCGGGUCGUAAAGCUCUGUCCUAAGGGAGGAAUUUUGACGGUACCGUAGGAGGAAGCUCCGGCUAACUACGUGCCAGCAGCCGCGGUAAUACGUAGGGGGCGAGCGUUAUCCGGAAGCACUGGGCGUAAAGGGUGCGUAGGCGGCUAAGUAAGCCAGGGGUGAAAGGCUACGGCUCAACCGUAGUAAGCCUUUGGAACUACUUAGCUUGAGUGCAGGAGAGGGAAGUGGAAUUCCUAGUGUAGUGGUGAGAUGCGUAGAUAUUAGGGGGAACACCAGUGGCGAAGGCGACUCUCUGGACUGUAACUGACGCUGAGGCACGAAAGCGUUGGGAGCAAACAGGAUUAGAUACCCCGGUAGUC